GAUGAACGCUGGCGGCGUGCCUAAUACAUGCAAGUCGAGCGGACGGACGAGAAGCUUGCCUCGCUGAUGUUAGCCGCGCGAGUGUGAGUAACACGUGGAUAACGUACCUAUCAGAGUGCGAUAACUUCGGGAAACCGGCGCUAAUACCGUAUAAUAUUUUGAACCGCAUGGUUCAAAAGUGAAAGACGGUCUUGCUGUCACUUAUAGAUGGAUCCGCGCUGCAUUAGCUAGUUGGUAAGGUAACGGCUUACCAAGGCAACACGGCAUAGCCGACCUGGGUGGGUGGUGGGCCACCGUGGAGGUGGGACACCGUCAGGAGGCCUACGGGAGGCACCAGUAGGGAAUCUUCGGCAGUGGGCGAAAGCCUUGCGGAGCAACGCCGCGCGGGUGAUGAGGGUCUUGGGAUCGUAAAACUGUGUUAUUAGGGAAAAACCUCUGUCUAAGUUACUGUGCACAUCUUGACGGUAGCUAAUCAGAAAGCCACGGCUAACUACGUG
rnacentral:rRNA from 1 species